rnacentral:rRNA from 1 species
CUGGCUCAGGACGAACGCUGGCGGCGUGCUUAACACAUGCAAGUCGAACGGUGAUGUCAGAGCUUGCUCUGGCGGAUCAGUGGCGAACGGGUGAGUAACACGUGAGUAACCUGCCCCCGACUCUGGGAUAACUGCUAGAAAUGGUAGCUAAUACCGGAUAUGACGACUGGCCGCAUGGUCUGGUCGUGGAAAGAAUUUCGGUUGGGGAUGGACUCGCGGCCUAUCAGGUUGUUGGUGAGGUAAUGGCUCACCAAGCCUACGACGGGUAGCCGGCCUGAGAGGGUGACCGGCCACACUGGGACUGAGACACGGCCCAGACUCCUACGGGAGGCAGCAGUGGGGAAUAUUGCACAAUGGGCGCAAGCCUGAUGCAGCAACGCCGCGUGAGGGAUGACGGCCUUCGGGUUGUAAACCUCUUUUAGUAGGGAAGAAGCGAAAGUG